AGAGUUUGAUCAUGGCUCAGAUUGAACGCUGGCGGUAUGCUUAACACAUGCAAGUCGAACGGUAACAGUCCCUCACCUAGAAAUUUCUUAAAAAGAGAUUUGUAGGUGAGGGAGCUGACGAGUGGCGGACGGGUGCGUAAUGUAUAGGAAUCUGCCUGGUAGUGGGGGACAACUCGGAGAAAUUCGAGCUAAUACCGCAUAAGCCCUACGGGGGAAAACGGGGGAUCUUCGGACCUCGUGCUAUUAGAUGAGCCUAUAUUAGAUUAGCUUGUUGGUGAGGUAAUGGCUUACCAAGGCGACGAUCUAUAGCUGGUCUGAGAGGAUGAUCAGCCACACUGGGACUGAGACACGGCCCAGACUCCUACGGGAGGCAGCAGUGGGGAAUAUUGGACAAUGGGCGAAAGCCUGAUCCAGCAAUACCGCGUGUGUGAAGAAGGCCUGAGGGUUGUAAAGCACUUUCAAUUGGGAGGAAUACCUAAUAGUUAAUAGCUAUUAGAUUGACA
rnacentral:rRNA from 1 species